rnacentral:misc_RNA from 1 species
UGAAACCUAAAGCCAACGUGGCAA